CACGUAGGGUGCGAGCGUUGUCCGGAAUUAUUGGGCGUAAAGAGCGCGUAGGCGGUGUGUCGCGUCGGCCGUGAAAACCUGCAGCUUAACUGUGGGCUUGCGGUCGAUACGGGCAUCACUGGAGUUCGGCAGGGGAGACUGGAAUUCCUGGUGUAGCGGUGAAAUGCGCAGAUAUCAGGAGGAACACCGGUGGCGAAGGCGGGUCUCUGGGCCGUAGCUGACGCUGAGGCGCGAAAGCAUGGGGAGCGAACAGG
rnacentral:rRNA from 1 species